CGUUUCCUUAAAAAAAACUCCAACAAUUUAAACCGGAAGUUCAUGUUUAUAAUAUGGCGCGGUCAGGAAAAAAAUUUCGGCAUGUUAUUAUCAAAUCUGUUCAAUUUUUCUGAAAUCAUGCUUAAUUAACAUUAGUUGUUCGGCGCUACGAUGUUGUUCAAAUACUUACAUUACAGAAUCACAUUAUGAUUAAAGCAGAAACGGCUCGACUUGAACCAGCAGCAGACGGAAGAUAUGGACGAACAACAAGAAGAAGUUAUGGAGGUCCCAACAACUGAACCUAAGGAAGUAGAAGAAUCGUUUACAGCCGAAACCCGAUACGAUGUGCCAGUUCCGGUCAUGGAGUCCUCCAUCUCAGACGAUGCCGGCGUUAGUGUCUUCUGCGACGAAGAACCCGUAGUGGUGUAUACGCAGGUAGAAGCUGGUUCCUCCCGUGGCAAGUCCAAGUUGUUUGACAACCAAGGGUUUAGUUAUACAAUUAAGGUAGGGUGAUUUAUUUUACCUAGUUAACUACCUUGUAUAGAAAUGUAUUUCAGCUACAAAAUGUAAAGAUAAUUAACUCUAGUUAACCUAGUUAACUCUAUAAUAAUAAAUGAAUUUAAUAUAUUUUAGACAGAGAAGAGAACUACGAUUUGGAGGUGUUCCAAAAGAAGCGGACCAACACGAUGUCCGGCAACAGUAAUCCAAGAUGGUGAUACAUACCAACCAGGCUUAAAGAACCAUCUUCACCCAGCAGAACCCGGUAUACACACGGCACCAAGAUAAAAGUUACAGCAAAGCAUGAAGCCAAAGGAAAUGUUUUUACCAAGUCAUGUUCCUCAAUAGCGGAGAGAGUUUUAUCCAGUGUCGGUUCUGCAGAAGAACCCAUUCAUAGCAGACCACCCAUGGCAGCACUUGUAAGGUCGCUACAAAGAACCCGACAGACUCUGCGACCAAAAGAUCCCACUGACGUGUUGUCAAGCCUUGACGAAGAUUUCAUCGAUCAUAGUGCACCGGGAUUUUAUCAAAAAAGAGUAAAAGUUGGGGAAAGGCGCCAUCACAUUUUUUGUACUGAUAGACAGAUGCAACUACUCGCACGCGCAAAAACUUGGUAUAUGGAUGCAACUUUUCGGGUGGUGAACAAGCCAUGGUCUCAGCUGUUUUCCAUCCACGCCUUCAUUAAGACUGGAGAGACCACCCGACAGUUACCAUUGGUGUUUUGUGUAAUGUCGGGUAAAAGCCAAGACGACUAUUAUAAGUUUCAAUAUUGGAUGUAUAUGCAAAUCACCCAGAAAAAGAUCAUGUAAUAACAAAAGAAAUUAUAAAAGAAAAAAAUGGAAGAAGAAAUGGCUGGAAAAAAUGAUGAUAGAGCAGCUUUUUCUUGUUACCCACCUCGGAAGAUCAAGUUGGAAAGGGCUAUUGAUAUUGUGGAGACGUUUUCUCACAGAUCUUGCUUAUCAGACAAAGACUAUGCUGGAACACCAUUGAAAGAGUAUUUGCUGUAUGAUAACAACAAGAAAACCCAAGCAUCAAUUUAUUUUAUACUUCUGGGAAAGAAUGCAUUUGACCCAAUUUUUAAAUAUUUAUUUUUUGUUUUUAAUGUUAAAUUUUCUUCCAAAACACAAUUAGAUUUUAAUUCUCUUCAGAAAUGUAUGUAUAAUAUAGCAAGUAAAGUGACAUAUAUAUCACUUAGAAUUUGGUCAGAAAUCAUAAAGUAUUUAAUAGGCAUUACUAGCAACCAAAUGUAGAUCAAAUACACCCAGAAUUACAAAAAACCUUGACCUACAUAAAGGUGACUUUCCCUUGCUUAUGAAAUGAAAUACGGUUUAGUAUCCUACUUUUCUGUGUUCUUAGAGUGAUUCUGCCAUACACCCUAAUCUUAUAUCAAAUAUUUCAACUG